CGCUCCGGACGAGGCCUUUAUGUCUGCGUCCCAGCUGCGCCUGCGCCGCCAGCGCCAUCUUUUGCCACCGCCGCCUCCUCCCCCUUCUUGACUAGAACAGGGAAACCGGGAGGGGAGAGAAGGGGCUGCGGCCGAGCGAAAACCGACGACGACGACGACGACGAGGAGGAGGAGGGGAGCGCAACGCAACGUCGUCGCCGCCGCCGCUUUGCUGCGAGGCCGGCCGGCUGGCCCUGCUACGAGGAAGAGGCAGCAACGCUGGCGCAGGCAGAAGGAAAGAAGGCGGGAGGCCGAACGAGAAGACGCCCCGGCUGCGCUAACCUUGUCCCUGGCGCCUCCCCGCCCUUCCCCAGGAUGCCCCCCGUCUCUUGCUCCUGCUCCCGCCGCCGCUGCCGCCGCCGCUCUUGAUGGCGACGCGUCUGGCGGCCGCCGGCUCCAGCGGGACUCUGCGUCUCAUCUUCGCCACCGCCUCGGCUCCUUCUAGGCUCGGAGGGUCUCCUUGUCGGCUCGGGGGCAGCUGGCGCGGGCUGUUCCCCCCACCCUCUCCUCCUCUCCGGGCAAGUCGGGUGCUUUUAACUGGGGAGAGCUUGGGGCUUGGAGGUGGGGGCCGUCGGAGGCUGUCUGAUUUCGACGAGGGCGGCGGCGAGGGCGAUUAGUCUCCUCCUUCCGCACUAUUCGCGGGGAGGGGGAGCUCGGCUGGGCAACGGAGAAGUGAAUGGUAGGCGCUUGAGAGUCACAUUCCCAGGAGGGGAAGAGAGGAGGAGGAGGAGGAGGAGGGUGCCGCCGACUGGAUUGCCCUGGGAGCGUGUGUGUGUGCGUGUAAGAGAAAGAGAGUGAGUGUGUGUGUGUGUGUGUGUGUGUGUGUCUUUUUCUGGCGCCCUCCCCCUUUCUUCUGGGUCGAGUGCCCCAGCCAGCUGCGAGGAGCGCCUUGUCUCUGCCUGGUCUCUCCCUCUUCCUCUCUCCCUUCAUUUCUGGGGAACUGCGCUCCUUAAAAUAGCACCAGCUAUUCAAUGCACCAGCCUGACUCAGCGGCAGACACGAGUGCGGGGAAGAUGGCGCACCCGGCGAUGCUUCCUCGGAGGGGCAGCAGCAGCAGCAGCAACAACGUCGUGCCGGCUCUGGGCACGGUGGGCGCCAGCAGCGGCAGCCAGGAAGAUUAUUCGCCUCCUUUGCUCGUCCAGCCGCCUCCUCCUCCUCCUCCUCCUGCGGCAGCCUCUUCCUCUUUGCCCGGGCCGCAGCCGCCGCCGCUGGCCCCUCCGCCGCCGCAGAGCUUGACCCUCCUCUCCCAGCCGCCCCCGCCGCCCCAGCCCCUGAGCCAGGCAGGGGCCCAGAUGAAGAAGAAGAGUGGCUUCCAGAUCACCAGCGUGACUCCAGCCCAGAUCUCGGCUAGCCUCAGCUCCAACAACAGCAUUGCUGAGGACACAGAGAGUUAUGACGAUCUGGACGAGUCCCACACGGAGGACCUCUCCUCUUCAGAGAUCUUGGAUGUCUCCUUGUCCAGGGCGACUGACUUGGGAGAACCUGAGCGGAGUUCCUCAGAAGAGACGCUGAAUAACUUCCAGGAGGCUGAAAGCCCCGGGGCUGUUUCGCCCAACCAGCCUCGCCCUCCCCAGCAGCAGCACCACCCAUCUUUGCCACAUCCCCCUCAGCAGCAGAGUGUGGUGAUCAACGGAAGUGUCCAUGGACACCAUUACCACCAUCAUCACCACCACCACCAUCAUGGGCAUCACCAUGGGACCCACUCUGGGAUGGGUGGCCCAGCAGCUCCUGGAGGACCUCCAUCCAGUCCAUCAUUAAGAAAACUGUCUGCAGCUGGAAGUUCUGAAGGUGUAGUAACGGCUGCUUUACAGGUUUCUGCUGCAUCAUCCUCUGGUGCACCUGCAACCAAUGUUGUGUCUCACUUCCGCACUGCUGGUACACCUGGAGUUACUUCUGCCGGUGGAGUUGGUACCAACACCUUGAGCAGUGUAGGUAGUGGAAGCCCUAGCGUGGUGAGCAGCGUGCCCAGUCAUGUGAAUAAGAAUCUGAGUAACAUCCCAUGUACUGGUAGUACAGCUGCUUUGUCAGGAGCAAGUGGCAAUGUGAAUGUUACUGUCUUAAGUGGAGUUAGCAAUGGCAUGGGUGCUUCUUCCACUGCUGUCAGUAACACUGGCAAUUCAGCAUCCUUAUCAGCUAGUCAUCUGCAGCCUGCAACCAGUACCUCGAGGUUUAGAGUUGUGAAGUUGGAUUCCAGUUCAGAGCCUUUCAAGAAAGGCAGAUGGACAUGUACAGAGUUCUAUGACAAAGAAAAUCCUGUAUCUCUUAUGGAAGGGGUGGCAUCCAAUAAAGUGGUAGACACUUUAAAGCAGAACCCACUUGAAGUGACUUCUGAAAGGGAGAGUACCAGUGGGAGUUCAGUUAGCAGCAAUGUAAGCACUCUGAGUCACUAUACAGAAAGUGUGGGAAGUGGGGAGAUGGGAGCAUCUUCUGUGGCACAGCAGCAAGCAUUUCAAGGAGUUGGGGCUCAGCUGAUGGAUCUUAGUAGCACUGGUUCUCAAGCUGUAUCUGCACCUAGUGUACCCCACAGUAUUUCUCAGUCACAGCUUGCACAGGCGCAACUUCAUCCUCAGGAUGCAAGUUACCCACAACAAAAGCAGGGAGUCCAGCCUCCUGGGUCAGCUGUUCCUUCUCCAGUGAAUAUAGCAGGUCAACAGUCUACCAUGCCAGCUGUGGCACCUCAGCAGCAGCUGCCCUACACCCAACCAAUGCAAGCUGUGCAGGCUGUUCCAGUUGUGCCACAACCACAGCCACAGCAGUUAUCGUAUGGGCAGGGACAGGCGCAGCACCCAGCACCACCACCACAACCAGUGCCUAUGCAGAUGGCUCCAGGACAUGUUAAACCAGUGAAUCAAAACUCUGUCACAGGCCCUGUGUCAGAUUACAUGCAACAGCAGCAGCAGCAGCAGCAACAGAUGCUUCAGACUCCAGUUUCAUCUAUGCAGAGUGGUCCUACAGUGGUAGGAACAGGUACAUCCCUACCAGUUGCUCAGGGAGCAAGCAUGCAGCCUUCUCUACAAGCACAUCUGCCAGUGGCAUCCUCUCAGCCUGUUGCACAUGGCCAGGCCCCAGUGCCGACAGUGGGAGCAAAUACUCAAAUGAUGAAUGUUGGGCAACAAGGAAAUGUACCGCCUGCAGUCCAGUCUCAGCAGCCACUGCCUGCUGCCAGCCAGAUUGCUCCUUCAGUGAUGGCGCAAAGUGCUGGUCCUUCUCCUCCUCCUCCUUCACAAGUGGUACCCCCUGUUCCAGCAGGGAUUAUUCAUCCAGGGCAGCAGGGAAGUACACCAGGCAUUUCUCAGCCACUGAUUAUUGCACCGCAGAGUACUUUGCUAUCCAUGCAAGCAGCAGAAUCUCUUGUUCAAGGAAUGACUGGUCAGCAGAUGCCUCCUGUGAGUCCUGUACCUCCUGUUAGUGCUGUCCCUGCCCCGUGCCAUUCUGCUGCCAAUGUGCCCCCUACUCCGAUGAGUUUGGCUUCCUCAAAGACCAUACCACAGUCUUCAAAUGUGCAGAAUGGGAACUUGGUACAAAACGUGUCUCAGCCUUCACUGAUAUCUACUGGCGUCAGUUUGCCUGCAACCCAAAAUGUGCCACAACAGAUACCACUGAACUCUGCUCAGUUUUCUGCACAGUCUCUCGCUCAGUCAAUUGCAACUCGGGAAGAAACUAGGCGCUCUACAGAACCCACCUUGGUUGGCCUACCCCAUCCCACCAGUGGUGAAGGUAGUGUUGGAGCAUCGUCAUCCAUUUCAGAUGGGGGCAGCAGCAUGGCAGCUUCUCUUUUCCCUCUGAAGGUACUUCCAUUGACCUCACAGCUCGUUGAUGGUGAGGAUGAGAGUUGUUUCUUCUAAUUUGCUAAACUCUCUUAACUUCUGACUGGAGAAUGAAUGGCGAAAUGACUUCUUCAGAGGCAACAGACAACACUUUCCCCUGCCUUUAGAGACUGCCAUGAAGGAUGCAUUCCAUAACAUGAAUGCAAAGAGGAGCACAACCCUCCAUCCUUACAGAUGUUGAAUGCCACAUAUCUUCCCCCAUUGCAUCCUUUGAUUUCCCAUUCCUAAUUUUAUUUCGUGACCUUGAGCAUCAAACUGGAUGGAGUGAUAGAGUGGCAGCUGACCAAUGAAUUUGAUACAGAAUGACUGAGUCUAACAUUGCACAAUAGUAUGCCCCUGAAGAGGCUCUGCCAAAGUUAAUUAUAACUAGUGCAAAAGCUGGGAGGUCUGACUGAGCCAAACAGGUAGGUAAAAAUGCUUCAUGUGUGGGAGGGAAACAAUAUAAGUUAACCCAUACUUAGAUUGCAGUUUUGAAGAAUCAUAGGUGAUUCCUUAUGAACAGAAUAGGCAUGCAGGUAGUGUUCACCAUCCUGUAACUGUGUUUGUGGUGAUACUCCCCCUGUUAAAUGUUCUUACCAAGUCUUAUGUGGAUUUGCUGGUUCAACAGGCUUUUAAGAAGAGGUAAGGAAACCCAUUCGACUUUUCCUAAAUAUGUAAGUGAUUUGUUCCACCUUAUUUAGCAGCAGUUCUUGAAGAAACAAUAUUCUUAAAGACAUUUAAAUUAGUGACAAAAUGCAUUCCUGUGUAUAAACACACGUUUAAAAGAAAGAGACAAAAUAAAGCCCAGCUGUUAUUUCUGUAAACGUUACAUCAAAGAUUAGGAAGCAUUUAAGAAAUGACAUGUGAUUGGACAGCUAAUCCGUUUUGAGACUAUGGCCAGGGAUCAGGCCUUCCAUAUAUAAGACAAUGAAUAAUGUCAUGUAGGUAUGAUAGGUUAGCUAAAUUUCAAUAAUGCAAAAUGAUGAUAGAUAAAUUGCAGUGAUGAUAGAUAAAUUGUUUCGCUUGCAAGGGAUCAUGAGAGCUGUUCUCACAAACAAUUUAUGUCCCAAUAUUAUUCUUAUGUAUCACAUUUGUAGUUCAUUAAUACAAUGUAUGCAUGCAUACGUUAUUUGUUUCAAAUAUGUCUAGCAGUGGCUCAGACUACAGUGGUGCCUCGCAUUGCGACGUUAA